AGUCGAACGCUCGUCUUCGGACGGGAGUGGCAGACGGGUGAGUAACACGUGGGAACGUACCCUUUGGUUCGGAAUAACGCAGGGAAACUUGCGCUAAUACCGGAUACGCCCUUUUGGGGAAAGGUUUACUGCCGAAGGAUCGGCCCGCGUCUGAUUAGCUAGUUGGUGGGGUAACGGCCUACCAAGGCGACGAUCAGUAGCUGGUCUGAGAGGAUGAUCAGCCACACUGGGACUGAGACACGGCCCAGACUCCUACGGGAGGCAGCAGUGGGGAAUAUUGGACAAUGGGCGCAAGCCUGAUCCAGCCAUGCCGCGUGAGCGAUGAAGGCCUUAGGGUUGUAAAGCUCUUUUGUCCGGGACGAUAAUGACGGUACCGGAAGAAUAAGCCCCGGCUAACUUCGUGCCAGCAGCCGCGGUAAUACGAAGGGGGCUAGCGUUGCUCGGAAUCACUGGGCGUAAAGGGCGCGUAGGCGGCCUUGUAAGUUGGGGGUGAAAGCCCGUGGCUCAACCACGGAAUUGCCUUCGAUACUGCUUGGCUUGAGUGUGGUAGAGGUUGGUGGAACUGCGAGUGUAGAGGUGAAAUUCGUAGAUAUUCGCAAGAACACCGGUGGCGAA
rnacentral:rRNA from 1 species